rnacentral:rRNA from 1 species
UAAUACGAGUGCCCCAAGCGUUAUCCGGAAUCACUGGGCGUAAAGCGUGGGUAGGCGGUCUUGAUAGUGGUUGGUUAAAUUCCGGGGCUUAACCCCGGCCCGGCCAGCCAAACGUCAGGACUAGAGCAAGUGAGAGGCUGAUGGAACUUACCAAGUAGGGGUGAAAUCCGUUGAUAUGGUAGGGAACACCAAAGGCGAAGGCAUUCAGCUGGUGCUUAGCUGACGCUGAGCCACGAAAGCGUGGGUAGCGAACGGGAUUAGAUACCCCGGUAGUCCACGCCCUAAACGAUGCCAACUAGCCGUUGGGAGUAUCGACCCUCUCAGUGGCCAAGCUAACGCGUUAAGUUGGCCGCCUGGGAAGUACGGCCGCAAGGCUA